rnacentral:rRNA from 1 species
AGUGAACGCUGGCGGUAGGCCUAACACAUGCAAGUCGAACGGCAGCACAGUAAGAGCUUGCUCUUACGGGUGGCGAGUGGCGGACGGGUGAGGAAUACAUCGGAAUCUACUUUUUCGUGGGGGAUAACGUAGGGAAACUUACGCUAAUACCGCAUACGACCUACGGGUGAAAGCAGGGGAUCUUCGGACCUUGCGCGAUUGAAUGAGCCGAUGUCGGAUUAGCUAGUUGGCGGGGUAAAGGCCCACCAAGUCGACGAUCCGUAGCUGGUCUGAGAGGAUGAUCGGCCACACUGGAACUUGAACACGGUCCAUGCUCCUACGGGAGGCAGCAGUGGGGAAUAGUGGGCAAUGGUCGCAAGCCUGAUCCAGCCAGACCGCGUGGGUGAAGAAGGCCUUCGGGUUGUAAAGCCCUUUUGUUGGGAAAGAAAAGCAGCAGGUUAAUACCCCGCGGUUCUGACGGUACCCAAAGAAUAAGCACCGGCUAACUUCGUG